GUGUCGUGAGAUGUUGGGUUAAGUCCCGCAACGAGCGCAACCCUUGUUUCCUGUUGCCAUCACGUAAUGGUGGGCACUCUGGAGAGACUGCCGGUGACAAACCGGAGGAAGGUGGGGAUGACGUCAAGUCAGCAUGGCCUUUAUGUCUGGGGCUACACACGUGCUACAAUGGCCGAUACAAAGCGUUGCCAACUCGCGAGAGUGAGCUAAUCGCAUAAAGUCGGUCUCGGUUCGGAUUGCAGGCUGCAACUCGCCUGCAUGAAGUUGGAAUCGGUAGUAAUCGCGGAUCAGCAUGCCGCGGUGAAUACGUUCCCGGGCCUUGUACACACCGCCCGUCACAUCACGAAAGCUGGCUGUACUAGAAAUCACUGCGCUAACCCGCAAGGGAGGCAGGUGCUUAAGGUAUGGUCAGUGAUUGGGGUGAAGUCGUAACAAGGUAACCGUA
rnacentral:rRNA from 1 species